rnacentral:rRNA from 1 species
CUACGGGCUGCACCAGUGGGGAAUAUUGGACAAUGGGGGAAACCCUGAUCCAGCGAUGCCGCGUGAGUGAAGAAGGCCCUAGGGUUGUAAAGCUCUUUCAGUAGGGAAGAUGAUGACGGUACCUACAGAAGAAGCACCGGCUAACUCCGUGCCAGCAGCCGCGGUAAUACGGAGGGUGCAAGCGUUGUUCGGAAUUACUGGGCGUAAAGAGCGCGUAGGCGGUCUUGCAAGUCAGACGUGAAAGCCCUGGGCUUAACCCAGGAGGUGCGUUUGAAACUGCUAGACUGGAGAAUCAGAGAGGUGAGUGGAAUUCCUAGUGUAGAGGUGAAAUUCGUAGAUAUUAGGAGGAACACCAGUGGCGAAGGCGGCUCACUGGCUGAUUACUGACGCUGAGGCGCGAAAGCGUGGGGAGCAAACAGGAUUAGAUACCCGAGUAGUC